CUGGCUCAGAACGAACGCUGGCGGCGUGCCUAACACAUGCAAGUCGAGCGAGAAAGCCCGCAAGGGUGAGUACAGCGGCGCACGGGUGAGUAACACGUGGGUAAUCUGCCCUGAAGCCCGGAAUAACUCCCCGAAAGGGGUGCUAAUGCCGGAUGAGACCACGGGAGGACAUCCUCCAGUGGGAAAAGGUGGCCUCUGCAUGCAAGCUAUCACUUCAGGAUGAGCCCGCGGCCCAUCAGCUCGUUGGCGGGGUAACGGCCCACCAAGGCUACGACGGGUAGCUGGUCUGAGAGGACGAUCAGCCACACUGGAACUGAGACACGGUCCAGACUCCUACGGGAGGCAGCAGUGGGGAAUCUUGCACAAUGGGCGAAAGCCUGACGCAGCAACGCCGCGUGUGUGAUGAAGGUCUUCGGAUCGUAAAGCACUGUCGGGAGGGACGAAUAAGUUGCCGGCUAACAUCCGGCGACGAUGACGGUACCUCCAAAGGAAGCACCGGCUAAUCU
rnacentral:rRNA from 1 species